GGAUCGCACUAUUAUUAUGGGGAUUUUCGUGUGCGGCUAUCGCGUACCCGUUAUACCAAUCUACUCGGUGAAACGCUUCAGACAUGCGAUUUCCGGAUUCACGAUCGUGUUUACGUAUAUAAUAUGUAUGCCGUCGUCGUAUGUUAGUUUGUUACCGUCCCGUUACCAGCAAUAUAAUUACCGAAGACCAUAUUGUUUUGGUCCGUCGACCGCUGACAAAUACGAGAUGUGACGCGUUCUUCGAUCGAUAUCCCGUUUUGUAGACUGUAUGGUACGGUUCCGGCGAAUUGCAUUUCGUUUAUAUUGAUGGAAUUUGCAAAUAGAAACUAUCGCGGCCUAUUAUAUACGUAUUUUACGCCUAAUACCUUCUGUUUUGCAGA